rnacentral:rRNA from 1 species
CGGUGGAGCAUGUGGUUUAAUUCGAAGCAACGCGGAGAACCUUACCUGGGCUUGACAUGCACGGGAAAGCCGGUGGAAACACGCCCUCCGGACAGGUGUGACGAGCGCAACCCUCGUCCCUAGUUACCAGCGGGAUGUCAAGUAUCAUGGCCCUUACGUCCAGGCGACAUACAUGGCCGGUACAAGCGCCGCCAACCCGCGAGGGUGCGCUUCGCCAAAGGCCGGUCUAAGUUCGGAUUGUAGUGCAACUCGACUGCAUGAAGCCGGAAUCGCUAGUAAUCGGGAUCAGCCACGCCACGGUGAAUACGUUCCCGGGCCUUGUACACACCGCCGUCACGCCAUGGAAGCUGGGGGGACCUGAAGUCGGUGGGCUAACCGCAAGGAGGCAGCCGCCAAAGUCAAUUCAGUGACUGGGGCGAAGUCGUACAAGGU